rnacentral:rRNA from 1 species
UACGUAGGGUGCGAGCGUUGUCCGGAAUUAUUGGGCGUAAAGAGCUCGUAGGCGGUGUGUCACGUCGUUCGUGAAAACCUGCAGCUUAACUGUGGGCGUGCGGUCGAUACGGGCAUCACUGGAGUUCGGCAGGGGAGACUGGAAUUCCUGGUGUAGCGGUAAAAUGCGCAGAUAUCAGGAGGAACACCGGUGGCGAAGGCGGGUCUCUGGGGCCGAUACUGACGCUGAGGAGCGAAAGCGUGGGGAGCGAACAGG